UUGAUUCCAUUGUAAGUCGCUUUGGAUAAAAAGCGUCUGCUAAAUGACAAGUAAUAUUGUCAUGGUGGCCAUGCAAGCCUUUCUGUCUUCCAAUUGUCCACAUCAGCCACUGAAAAUCUUAUGCUACAGCAACUUAUUGGUCUGAUUAAAUGUUUCAGUUCAGUCUCUAACUUUUCCACUACUUGUACUUGUAACAGUCUCAGUAAAUUGAAGAAUUUUCAGCGUCUCUGUCUCAUCUGCCCAUGCACAGGAAACUGUCAUAUGUCUGGCCAGAUAAAGGCCCAUUUCACAACAAUAGAGUUUAGAGCAGCAUGUCUGACCUGCUCUGAUGCACCGUUCAUUUACAUGGAGGAAGCUUGACAAUUCCAUGGCCAGAGAACAUUUGCAUUAUGGUUUCAUCUAUAGACAGCAGUUGAUGUCUGAUCCUGACAGCCAAUCACUGCCCAGAUAGCUGUUUGGGACUGAGUAUGUAUACUCCUCACUGAAGGUUCACAGCCAGCUUUGUUGCAACAUUUUGACCACUGCAAGUUUUUGGAGAAGGAAACUCAACCUUGUACUACAUCUUCUCGAUUUCUGUCUUCAAUCUUUAAAACAAGAGGUAAGUUCCUAAUCUUUACAAAUCCCCCAUGGAUCUGUCAAUUCAGUAUGUUGGUAUAACUAUGUUAAGAAAUACUGGUAGCAUCAUGGCCUUUCCCAGAGUUACUCAAAAGAUCAUGUUUUUCAUCAUAUAUCAUUUUAAAUAAAAUUGUUGUUGGUCAAGACAGUUUAUCAUGUAUGUUCUCAAAUGUUUCCCAGAAAAAUGACAUCCACGAGGGUAUAUCCUGAAAAGGAAGCCCUGCACUUCAUUGCCUCUGGACAAGAUAAAGACACAUUUCAGAAGAAAUUCAUCAACAAGGAAAAAAGUUAUGGUGCCACCACAAUUAUUGAGCCAGGAGAAUUCUUGCUCGAGUAAAUCAGAAGACUUAUCUCCAGCUCAAACUAAUCAGAUGCAGAUGCAGCAUUUUUGUAUUUAUACUCUUUCAGGGACAGACCUUCUGUGUUGAUGGCAGUAAGGAAACAGCAAGACUGGGGAGAUUCAUAAAUGACGAUCACAUCUCACCAAACUGCAAAAUAAAACUAGAAAAGCACAAGCAGUCCAGGAACAAACUGACCAAUGAGAUCAGGGUAGCUAAGAGGAGCUACAGGGAGAGCUAAAUAAUAGCUUUCAGCUAACCAACAACAGUCUGGUGAGGCUUUCAGCAUAUUACCAACUACAUGAGCCCAUCCCCCCAGCAGGUUUUAAAAGCAGCACUUCACACCUCCCAACAGCUCACCUUCUCUACUCACCUCCACAAAAGGAAUGCGUGCAGCCCCCACCCCUGUCCCCUCUGACCCCCCAUCGACACUAAAGAUCUGUGAGGAGAAUGUGUGCAGACUCUUCCUGAGGUUGAAAACCAGGAAGGCUCAAGAGCUGUGCACUCCUGCUUCAAAUGCUCCACUAUCAUCCCGGUCCCUAAGAAGCCUGACAUCACACGAUUAAAUACUACAGGCCUGUCACUCUGACAUCUGUGGUCAUGAAAUCCUUUGAGAGACUGGUGUUGAGCCACCUGAAGGUCAUCAGUGAGCCCCUGCUGGACCCCCUGCAGUUUGCUUACUGGGCCAACGGGUCGGCCGAUGAUGUAAUCAACAUAUCACUGCACUUUAUCCUGCAUCAUCCUUGAUCAACCAGGGAAGUAUGCCUGGAUCCUGUUCAUGGACUUCAGCUCCGCCUCUAACACUGCCACUUAUGUGAUUUCAGGAAAGUCAGAAGAUGCACAUUCUAGAGGAAGGGCUGAUAUCCAAAACAGUCUGAAGAAAAGGCUGCUACCUCAAGAAAGGCACUUGGGGACAUAAAAAAGGGGAAAUUCAGAAAUCCCUGGUACCAACUCGAGAGACUUAUCAUUGAACACCAUUUUAAGGACUUCCUUCAAAAAAUGAAUGAAAAUCAGAUUCUCCGGGAUAAAGGAAGAGACUGGAAGGCAAUUAAAUACUUUGUGCACAAUAAGAUAAUAGCUAUCAAGAGAAAUUUGUGUCAAAUGUAUUAGCUUGCAAUAUGGAUCAUCAACAUUCUGUGACUGAAUUCUGGGAGUUCACAUCAUGGAUUAUCAGUGUUAUGUGCAUAAAUACUGGGAACUUGCAGUACAGAGCAUCAGUGUUAAGUGUCACAACACAUAUAGUUCAUGUAAACAGAUCAUCAACGUAAGGGUCAUAACAUUGGUAGUUCACAUAAACGGAGCAUCAGUGAAUGGCUCUUAUAGUGAGCUUAUGAGAUUUUCCAUGUGAUAUGUCUUUAUAGUAUAUCAUGUAGAAAGUGUCUAUAUAGGUUUUAAUGUAAAUAAAUAAACUUUGGCUUUGAAACAA